ACCAGGUACAAAAUCCCCUGGGACAAAACAGAACUUUCAUAACUGGCUGUAGAGUUAUUGUUUUUGCCUUUUGAAAGCUUCCACCUUGUGACGAGAAGAGCACUGUCAGCCCAACACAGAAACUCUGCCGCCUGGAGUCACAUGGAUCCAGAUGCGAAGGGACUCGAAUGUCAUGCUAAGGAGUUUGGGUAAUAGCAAUGAUAAAAUGCUACUUAUUGAGGUAGACAUGUUUAAUGUAUCUUCUUUAAUCCUGAAGGCUAAGAAUUUGUACAGCCAUAUUACAGAUUUGGAAAAUGAUGUGAAGAGAAGCUAAGGGAUUUGCCAUUGCCACUCAGCUGCCAAGGGUCAGAGACAUUACUUCUACUUCUCAAUGUCCAUCCUCCAGCCAUUGUCCGGUGAUUCGGGCAGAAUUCACUCCUGCUCAGGAGGCAGCCAUCCUGUGACCCUGGAAGCAACCAGCCCAAGGAAGGUGCUAACCUACAGAAGAAGGGUCAUCACGUAGACCCGGAGUUGGAGCUCUGACUGCACCACAUCCGAAGCCUCCCCACCUUUCAACCUCUCGGUGAUGGUGAACCAAUAAACUCUUUUUAUUGUUCAAGCCA
rnacentral:lncRNA from 1 species